CCGCGCUCACCCGCCCGUCUCGGCUCCCGAAUCCCCGCAGUCCUCCUCGCCGCCGCGGGGCUGCUGCUGCUGCUGCUGCUGCAUGCUGCCGGCGCCCGGCUCGCUCCAUGCCCGUCGCCGCUCCGCCGCCGUCUGUGGGAGGCGGUAGCUCCCGGCACCGGCCCGCCCCGGCCCGCCCGCGCGGGGCUCGGGGCCGCUCCCUCGGCCCGGCCUCCCGCCGCCGGAUUCUCCGCUGGGUGCCGCCACGGGCUUGGGGGCGGCCGUGGCCUGUGUGGGCUGGGUCCCGCGGCCUCACUUCUGCCACCGGGCACUUGGUGGCUGUGUUCGGUGCGAUCUCUUUGAAACUGCACGUGGAAGCAGUCGGGGAAAGGUUGGCCGAGCAGCAGUAAUGAAGAGAAAGUGAUGUGGUGCAAAAACAGUACUUGGAGUGCCUCCUGUGAAGAGGUUGUGGUGUAGGAAAGGUUAACAGCAGUCAUUUGCACUGAGUCUUUUCCCAGGCAAGUUACUUGAAGUUACCUGGACAAAAUGCUGUAAAAAGUACUCAUACAUAACUGUGCUGUCCUUCAGAACAUAUGGAGAAAACUUCUGUCCUUCAAGACUGGUGGCCUUCCAUCUAAAUCGAUCUACUCACAUACAUAAAACAAAAUGCAUACGAUUUCUUCUAGGAUUGGGACCCAAAUGCUGUGCUUUCAACUUGUAGAAUCAUCAUUUUCAGGACUUGUGGAGACACUCAAGUUACAGCAAAAGUCUGCAGCAACUCAAGAGCUCUUUUCUACAGAAAAGAUAAGCCAGAACAAUGGUCAAG
rnacentral:lncRNA from 1 species